rnacentral:misc_RNA from 1 species
GCAAACUUGGUCAUUUAGAGGAAGUAAAAGUCGUAACAAGGUUUCCGUAGGUGAACCUGCGGAAGGAUCAUCAUUGAUUUAUUCUUAUAAACCUCUGUGAACUGUAUGUGUAAGAGCUUGUUGGUGGGAGGACUGCCCUCUGGGCGUCGCGUCCUGGCUCUGGCCGGGUGCCCGCCAGCCUGCUCGCAUUUUAACAAACUUUUAAAACAUCCACUGAUAAAAUUUGUUUAACAAAAACAACUUUCAACAAUGGAUCUCUUGGUUCUCGCAUCGAUGAAGAACGCAGC